AAUCAGCUAAAAAAGAUCCUAUUGAGCAUGACUGUAGUCUGCCACAGUAAAGAGGUAUGAGAGGUGCAGAAGAAGUCGGAGACCCCUAGUGGUACCUGCCCCUACCUUACCUCCCUCCUAUAUCAUGGGAGGGAGGUAAAGGGUAACAUGGAUGUCCUAAGAAAAGCUCAGGGAAGACAAAACUCCACUGCAGCAUAAGGGGGAAAAGUCACUUUAUCUUGAUUUUCAGUAUAAACACAAACUCUGAAGGUGGCCCCCAAUCUUUCUGACCUUUUUUGGUUUUAAGCAGGGGGUGUCAGAAAAGGUGUGAUUGGCUUUGUGCAACCAAGCAUUCACUGAAGCCCACUUUUUGGUCCUUUCUGUCAGUUCAUCAUAUCUUUAUUGGGGAUAAUUUACUUAUCAUUGGAUUGUUCCCUCACUAAUACAGUCAGCUUUAGAACUCCGUAAGAUAGGUUUUACUACACUAAUG
rnacentral:ncRNA from 1 species